AUUGAACGCUGGCGGCAUGCCUAACACAUGCAAGUCGAACGGUAACAGGCCCUUCGGGUGCUGACGAGUGGCGGAUGGGUGAGUAAUACUUAGGAAUCUACCCUGUAGUGGGGGACAACCCGGGGAAACUCGGGCUAAUACCGCAUACGCUCUACGGAGGAAAGCGGGGACCGCAAGGCCUCGCGCUAUUGGAUGAGCCUAAGCCCGAUUAGCUAGUUGGUGGGGUAAUAGCCUACCAAGGCAAUGAUCGGUAGCUGGUCUGAGAGG
rnacentral:rRNA from 1 species